rnacentral:lncRNA from 1 species
UGCCAAAAAUUAUGGUGCAGAUCAAAUGUGGCAUUCAAAGUUUGUGCCCUGUAACUGUCUGGCCAUUCCACUUGGUGUGUUAAAGCCUUCACAAAAUGAGACUGUAGGUUUGGGUUUUUUGCCCCUGCCAUUAAACCAAUCCAUAAUAGCAGAUGUCAUCACCCCCAAAUAAAAAUAAGUGACGGAUGAAAAGAUUUCAUCAGUUAUUCCUGGCAGUUGGAGUCCUCUUGAAAAGGGGAACCCAGAGGUAAAAGUGACAGUAUUCGGUAAUCACUCAAGAAAUCCAUACUUUGACAGAAGAGGAAGCUACUAUACACUCAAAAUAAUGAACAAGCAUACCAACUUUGGACGCCACAAGAUAGGUGGUCAUGAUGCAGAAGGACUGAAGAACUUCUGGGAGAAAGUCAUCCAAGAGCAUACCAGACAGCGAGAAGGUGAAGAGCUUAGGUUAAGGAAAAGUGCACUGAACAAGCUUCGCCAUGAGUGGACUGAGAGGCUGGAAGGCCGAGCAAAGCAGGUCCAGGCGCACAUGAAAAAGCAGAAAGAGCAGAUGACGUUGCUGUCUAUUGAGGCUCUUCCCUCACCAGAUAAAACAGUUGCUUAAAGUUACUGUGAAAAUACAAAAAGCCCUGGGCUUGACUCUGACCUUCUGCAUGCCCUUAUUAACCAGUUACAUUGCUGAACAAGCAACAGCUCAGACUUUGGUACUUUUCCAGACCAGUUAUUAGAGCUACUAGUAAAGUCCUACAUAAAUUCAGUGCAAUAAGGCCACAGUACAUAAUCUCUUGAAUACUAUGGAGGGAGAGAUGAGAAGCACUAAUCUGUAAGUCCACAUGAUAUGUUAUUAUCCCAAAGUAGGAAGACUUUAUUAUGUAACUGCAUUUUCAAAUGACAACCAACAUAUUUCUCAGAAAGAGUAUCUCUUGUUUAAUAGGUAUAAUACAUUCAGUUUGCUGCAAGUAAAGUUGUACAUUUCCAUUUACAGAGCUCUCGGACUGGCUUAAUGCAGGUGUCAUCUGCCUUGCCUGUCUUGAGCCACAGCAAAGCAGGUUAAAGAUUAGUCUGGUCAGCUGGACAAAAGAGGAAAUACAUUUUUAAAUGGAAUCAGGAAAAAGAAGGAAUGAGGGUUUUGUGAUCAAUGUAUAGGAGAGUUUCCAGAUCUGAAUCAUUAGUUGAAAAGAGGUAAAGCUUUUUUCUUUGGUGCAUAGAUAUGAAAAAGACUACCGACAUUAUCAUGAACAAGUUUGAGAGAUGUCUGAGUAAGUGGGUAGGUAAGAGAGUUUGAAACAGAAGCCAGUUCAUCACAAAAACACAGGAAUGUUCUGCAAGGUAUUGUUUGCCAUACCUGGUUUGCACUAAUCUAAAUACUUGCUGCAUUGCUUCUCCUUCUAGGUCAGGUGAAAUACAGCAAGGACUAACUAAACAUAGGAUAAUAACAGUGUGCGCUGUUUACUUGUGAGUCUAUGAAUGUAAAUACCAAAACAUCCCUUGAAUGAAAACAUUUACUUCUUAACUCUUUAUUUCUUUGAUGCAGUUAUAUGUCUGAACUAUUUUUCUAUAACAAUAUUGAUCUAGGUGAAAUUAUAACCUUUCAUCAUUGUAUACAAUGAACAAGUAGGUAUGAAUUAAUUUGAUAAAUUCUAAAACAAAGCAAAAAUUAAACCUUUUUGACCUCAUGGAAAUGCUAUUUUUAUCCCCUUAAGACAAUAUUUCAUUAAAACACAGAGUUUUACAGUUUGUUCCCACUUUUACAUAGCGACAUUCUCCCAUAGAAAACAGAAUACUUUAACACAUACACACAAAAAAAAAUGCUAUUUGAUAAAGAAUAAAAACAAUUUAAAACUUCUGCA